CUUAAACCCGCCGGGCUUUUUUGCGCCUGCGCCUUACCGCGAUUAUUCGAGCCUUAGCGGUUUGAGUUUCACGCGCAUGCGUCUUCCUUCAAACCGUUCGCUCGACUUACCCGCCAGAAGGGGGAGGGGUGUGGCGGCAGUUAGUUCCUUACGGGAACAGUACCAGGCUCUGGGUUGUGAGGAGGUGUCCCUAGCCUAUUAUCCGCAGUCCUAGCAGACCUGAAAGUACAAGUGCUCCCCUCCCUCGCGCCGCCUAUACUCCUUUUCUCCCUAGAGCCAUCCCGUGACAAACUGGGGGCUGCGGGACUGCAUACUUCCUGCACCCGAAGCCACCCCCGCGGCGCCGGGAGCAUGUCCAAGUCUUUCGUGCCGCCACUAACCCCCUACCUGCCGCCGUUGGGCCUGGGGCCCGGACCCCAGUCCCGUACCCCGCUUUUGCCCUAACGAACUCCCACCCUGCGACCCCAGCUGCCUCGCCCCGGGGUCGGCCGGCUGGGCGCUCGCACGAGAGGGGGGCGCCGGAUGCGCGUCUCGUCGCGCCUCGUGAGCGUAGGGUGGAGGCCUUCAGUUCGGCAAGAUUCCAGGGUCACCCCAUGUGCGCAUAUGGCCCGAGACUAGUGAUGUUCGUGAUUUCCGGCAGCACUGCGGAAACUGGGACCAUUCCCGUAGCCUUCCAGUCCUCCCCUUGUCUGAUGCCGGCUGUCCUCCCCACCUCGGCCUGGUGGACACAUGCAAUAAACACAGGGGUACCACGGCGAAGGCCUCUCUGAGUGCCACCAUGGGAAGAUGCAAGUAAAGCACGUUUUCGUCCCUACAAUGGUCUGGAAGUCGUAUCCGGUUUUAACAGGUUUGAGAAAACUGGAGAGGACAUCAAUGGAACAGGGAGAAGAUGAUCCAAGAUAAGGUCCCACAGCACCACGGCAUCAGCUGCCUCCAGAUCAUGCUGAGGACCAGGGGACCCCACUUUGAAGCUGGAGACUGGAAGCAUAGCGACGGUGGCUCAGUGGUUAGAACCUGGGUACAGAGUCCCAAGCCCAUCCCAACCCGGUGCAACAUGGCUCGGCCCUUUCAGCUGCAUAAUUAUGGUUGUCUUGAAUAAGAACUCCUCCGACGCCUGGUGAGGGCUCCGAAACCAUUUAAACUGCUCAGUGUGAAUUCUGAUACGUACUUUUCCUAAGUGAGAUAGAAAAACAAAGGCGUCCCCACAGCCAGCCCAGCAUCGCCGCUGAGGGGAGGGGCUGGCGCUGGCGCUCCUGAGUGAGGUCAGCUGCUGCGGUGACCUGGAAAGGGGAUCCUAACCUCUUCGGUUCUCUCAGCGCAUCUCCUUUAGGCAGAAUGUGACAACCAUUGGUUUUGAACCUUCAGGGUAUUGGCCCUGAUUUUCCAAAGCUUCAGCUGGGACACUCACUGUGGUUGAAUCCUUCGGCCAUGUGUUCAAAAUGUAUUGAUGACUAGUGUCAUUACUUACCUUUUAAAAUGUUUUAUUUAUUUAAUUUUGGAUCUGUUGGGUCUUCGUUGCUGCGCGUGAGCUUUCUCUAGUUGCGUCGAGC